AUUGAACGCUGGCGGCAUGCUUUACACAUGCAAGUCGAACGGUAGAGGGGGCAACCCCUUGAGAGUGGCGAACGGGUGAGUAAUGCAUCGGAACGUGCCCAGUCGUGGGGGAUAACGCAGCGAAAGCUGUGCUAAUACCGCAUACGAUCUCUGGAUGAAAGCGGGGGACCGAAAGGCCUCGCGCGAUUGGAGCGGCCGAUGUCAGAUUAGGUAGUUGGUGGGGUAAAGGCCUACCAAGCCAACGAUCUGUAGCUGGUCUGAGAGGACGACCAGCCACACUGGGACUGAGACACGGCCCAGACUCCUACGGGAGGCAGCAGUGGGGAAUUUUGGACAAUGGGCGCAAGCCUGAUCCAGCAAUGCCGCGUGCAGGAAGAAGGCCUUCGGGUUGUAAACUGCUUUUGUACGGAACGAAACGGUCUGGGUUAAUACCCUGGGCUAAUGACGGUACCGUAAGAAUAAGCACCGGCUAACUACGUGCCAGCCGCCGCCGUAA
rnacentral:rRNA from 1 species